GGCCGAGUUCAAGCGUAUAUGCGCCCAAGACAACGAGCGUACUUAUGCUCUACGACAGAAGAUCGUUGAUCUUGAGGCUAAAGUUGCGGACUUGACCUCAAAGGUGGAGGAAGCGCAGGGUGAAAAAACUGCCAAGCAGCAGAUGGAGGUUAGUUGAGCUGACUGAAGCCAAGGUGCAAUUGUCUAACAAGGACAAGGAUCUCCAUGCCAAGGACGUUGAGAUAGCGGAACUCAAACGUCGCUUGAAUGAGCAAAUCGAUAGAUGCGAGUCUUUGGAGAUUGACCUUGAGGCUGAGAAGGUC
rnacentral:lncRNA from 1 species